CGAAAUCGCAGGGCUGGGAAAGGCGUGCCGGGAGCUGCAGAGAACGUUGUUUGUGUACUGAGGCCAAUCCCGACUCGGGCCGAGCCCGUUCCAGGGCUAUUCCUCAUCUCCGGCUUUGGCCUCGCCCAGCCCGGGGGCCCUGAGAGCGCGGGCCGAGGCUGGGCCGUGUGCAGAGCCCGCCCCUCGCAGCCAUUGGCUGGUUCUGCCGUCACUCGUCGUUCUCGCACGCUGAUUGGGCAGAGCGGGGACAAGCCCAGCCCCGGGGCCGCCCCUAGGGCGCUCGUGAGGCAGCAAAGGCGCCAUGGGUGAGGGGUUCUGUGCGGGCUCGGUGAGGCGGCGGCGGAGCUCGGAGGCGGCGGCGGAGCUCGGAGGCGGCCCCAGCGCAGAGUCAAGGCAUGACUUGAUUCUUGCCAAGAUGUGCAGCAGAAAUCAUUUCAUCCACACAUAGCUUGAGUGUGCAGAGAAAAUCAUUGCAUGACACAGUCAAGGCAUGACUUGAUUCUUGCCAAGAUGUGCAGCAGAAAUCAUUUCAUCCACACAUAGCCCGGGUGUGCAGAGAAGAUCAUUGCAUGACA